rnacentral:rRNA from 1 species
ACUCCUACGGGAGGCAGCAGUGAGGAAUAUUGGACAAUGGAUGGAAAUCUGAUCCAGCCAUGCCGCGUGAAGGACGACGGUCCUAUGGAUUGUAAACUUCUUUUGUAUGGGAGCAAUAAGGUCUACGUGUAGAUCGAUGAGAGUACCAUACGAAUAAGCAUCGGCUAACUCCGUGCCAGCAGCCGCGGUAAU